UGAGGGAUAUUGGGCAAUGGGGAAACCCUGACCCAGCGACGCCGCGUGAGGGAAGACGGUCUUCGGAUUGUAAACCUCUGUCUUUGGGGACGAAAAAGGACGGUACCCAAGGAGGAAGCUCCGGCUAACUACGUGCCAGCAGCCGCGGUAAUACGUAGGGAGCGAGCGUUGUCCGGAAUUACUGGGUGUAAAGGGAGCGUAGGCGGGAAGGCAAGUUGGAUGUGAAAACUGUGGGCUCAACCGACAGACUGCAUUCAAAACUGUUUUUCUUGAGUGAAGUAGAGGCAAGCGGAAUUCCUAGUGUAGCGGUGAAAUGCGUAGAUAUUAGGAGGAACACCAGUGGCGAAGGCGGCUUGCUGGGCUUUUACUGACGCUGAGGCUCGAAAGUGUGGGGAGCAAACAGGAUUAGAUACCC
rnacentral:rRNA from 1 species